GCUCCAACAACAACAAGAAACAAGGUGAAAAUAACAAACAACAAUAAGAGAUAAACAACAUUAUGAUAAGAAGAACAACACUAGGAUAACAACAAUCUAACGUUACAAGAUGACAAAACUCAACAAGAACACACGGGUUCACUAGACAUCACAAACUAAGACAUGAAAUGUAAAGAUAGAAAGUGUGACAUACACUAUUACAAGGUUAAGAACCCAAAGAUGUAUUAAAUAUAAGGACCCCUAAGACUUACAAUAGCAACACCACAUCCUUACGAAGACACAAGAUCGGAAUCCACCUCUCAAAUACCAGCGUUUCCAAGCAAUACACAUUCACAAGUGAUUGCACACUUGCUCAUGUCCUAGUUUUGGCCUAGGGAGGCUCUCUCU
rnacentral:lncRNA from 1 species